rnacentral:rRNA from 8 species
CAACUUUUGACAACGGAUCUCUUGGUUCUCCCAUCGAUGAAGAACGCAGCGAAAUGCGAUAAGUAAUGUGAAUUGCAGAAUUCAGUGAAUCAUCGAAUCUUUGAACGCACCUUGCGCUCCUUGGUAUUCCGAGGAGCAUGCCUGUUUGAGUGUCAUGA